rnacentral:lncRNA from 1 species
UUGGCAGGAUGUUGAACACAUCAGCAGCUUGUGAAGUCCAUAUUAGGUUCACUGCAUGCUCGUCUUACUUGUCCACCACAAUUUAACAAUAGUCUCACAAUGGGGCUGUUGUUUUGAGACAAUUGUAUGAGCAAUGAAUCUCCCUGUGUUGACUUUUGAACUAUUUAUUUUUGUCUGUAACAGUGUUCAUCAAACUCAGUCUUUGGCUUUGCCUUGCAGUAGCUAUUCAACUGCUUGUUUGUGACAAUGUAUUGUGUUGGAUCCCUUCAAAAAUUAACAAUUUUGCCACUUGAAGUAGCUGGACUUUGUGUCACCAUGUUGAGAAGAUCCAGUCCACUGCAAUGAAAAGAAGCAGGAGAAGUAGGGGUCCAGUCUAGUCCAGUGACAUAGAGAUGGGCAUGACACUGAUGCUGUAUUUAACAAAUAUUUGAUAAUUGUUAUUUAACUUCAGUUAGGCUGUAUCACCAAUAUAAAAAUGAUUAACAUAAACACCAUGCCCUUCUGACCCAUCUUAUUUUAUGAGUUUUCUUGAACUUCGUUUCUGUUGACUAUCCACCCAGUUGAAAAAUGCGAGUUUGACCACAAAUUCUCUUGAGAAAUGUCAUGAGCUUUUGUCGUAUUCUUCAGGAGAGAGGAACUGUAUAAUUUUCCAACAGAGUUGAGAAAAAAACAAUAAUAUGGGUAAGGCUAUUUUGUUUUGUUUUGUAUUGUUAUAUCAAUGAAUUUAAAAUCCCAAGAUUAAUCCCAAUACACAGAGACGGCACUGUGAAAACCUUUCUGUUUUGUUGCUUGCUGGGAGGAAACCAAGUCGGCCAAAUAUAACAGCAUAUUUUGCCUGAAGUUGCUCCUGAGAUUAGGGCUUACUUUAGACGAAACCGAUGCAAACAUGACUGUUGGGGGGGAGGUACAAACAAAGACCGAAUAUACUUCUCUGUAGCCCCAAAAUUCCACUUCGAAUUCAAGCAACUGCACAUGAUCACACAAACUCAGGAGGACAGAAAACCAAGGGCCUCAGAAAGAAAAAAAAAAGUUUAGCUUUUGGCUACCAGAACAAGCAUAUGUGCAGAUUGAGAGAGAGGCUUGACAAAAAGCAUCUGAUCAACGGAUCCCCCCCUCCUCCUUUCUCCUUAUUUGCCCCCACUUUUGCAAUGAUAAGCGAGAGGCUUAAUGUGCCCUCCAGUUCUGAUAC